CAUGAUGUGGCCGAGUGGUUACGGCGAUUGACAAGAAUUCUGAAGGCGUUGGUUCGAAUCCUACGGUGUUCA
rnacentral:tRNA from 1 species